rnacentral:lncRNA from 1 species
CAAUGAAGCCAUACAAGUACAAGUCACCACCACCGCCGCCAGUCUAUAAGUCUCCUCCACCACCGGUGUACAAGUACAAAUCUCCUCCCCCGCCGGUUUACAAGUACAAGUCACCACCACCGCCGCCAGUCUAUAAGUCUCCUCCACCACCGGUGUACAAGUACAAAUCUCCUCCCCCGCCGGUUUACAAGUACAAGUCACCACCGCCACCGGUGUACAAGUCGCCUCCUCCACCAACAAAGCCAUACAAGUACAAGUCUCCACCACCACCAGUCUAUAAGUCACCACCGCCACCGGUUUACAAGUAAAAACCCCCCCCGCCACCGGUGUACAAGUAUAAGUCACCGCCGCCUCCAGUCUACAAGUCUCCUCCGCCACCAGUUUACAAGUACAAAUCACCGCCGCCGCCAGUCUAUAAGUCACCACCGCCUCCAAUGAAGCCAUACAAGUACAAGUCACCACCACCGCCGCCGGUUUACAAGUCUCCUCCUCCGCCGGUGUACAAGUACAAAUCACCGCCGCCGCCAGUCUAUAAGUCACCACCGCCUCCAAUGAAGCCAUACAAGUACAAGUCACCACCACCGCCGCCAGUCUAUAAGUCUCCUCCACCACCGGUGUACAAGUACAAAUCACCACCGCCACCGGUUUACAAGUACAAGUCACCGCCGCCGCCGGUGCACAAACCACCUCCACAUUACAUCUCUGCGUCACCCCCUCCACCAUACCACGUCUAGAUGAGUCAACCCCCCAAGGUAAUACUACUAAUCAACAACUCAUAUCCAAUCACUGAAUAAGGGGCCGUUUGACAUAGAGAAAAUAUAUUUGUAUUUGUGGGAAAAUUAUUUAUUUUGAAAUUAACAUAUUUGCAUUAGUGACAAAUAUCACAAAUAUUUUUAGUUAUCAUUGGUUUAUCUUAUUCUGAAAAACAAUAACGUAAUUCUAAUUUCCUCAAAUAAAAAAUUUAGUUCUAUUAUUUAUGAAAUAUACAUAUCAAACAUUAUAGCCUAGCAAGUUUUUAUUAAUUAAUAAUACUGACCCCUCUCUCAACAACUCGAGCUAUUGGAGAUACGAUGAUCGAUUUUGGACAUGGUAUCAUAGAUUUAAAAAACCAAGAGGUCUCCUUUUCAAAUCCCGACAGUCUCCAUUCCGUACAUAUGACUUAUCGUGUGAACCUCAUUUCUUCUUAAAACUUCUGUCUGAAGGGCAUAUUAAUGAAUACUAUAUACAAAAUUGAUCUGAACCUUCCCCCAACAACUUACAAUGCAACGAUUCAUGACAAUUUUCUCGAUUUAGUACUCGAUACUCGGUACGAAACGGUGCCUUAAUUACUAACUUGUGUCUUGGUCCU